AUUGAACGCUGGCGGCAGGCCUAACACAUGCAAGUCGAACGGUAACAGGAAGAAGCUUGCUUCUUUGCUGACGAGUGGCGGACGGGUGAGUAAUGUCUGGGAAACUGCCUGAUGGAGGGGGAUAACUACUGGAAACGGUAGCUAAUACCGCAUAACGUCGCAAGACCAAAGAGGGGGACCUUCGGGCCUCUUGCCAUCGGAUGUGCCCAGAUGGGAUUAGCUAGUAGGUGGGGUAACGGCUCACCUAGGCGACGAUCCCUAGCUGGUCUGAGAGGAUGACCAGCCACACUGGAACCGAGACACGGUCCAGACUCCUACGGGAGGCAGCAGUGGGGAAUAUUGCACAAUGGGCGCAAGCCUGAUGCAGCCAUGCCGCGUGUAUGAAGAAGGCCUUCGGGUUGUAAAGUACUUUCAGCGGGGAGGAAGGGAGUAAAGUUAAUACCUUUACUCAUUGACGUUACCCGCAGAAGAAGCACCGGCUAACUCCGUG
rnacentral:rRNA from 1 species